GACGAACGCUGGCGGCGUGCUUAACACAUGCAAGUCGAACGGAAAGGCCUUUUCGGAGGUACUCGAGUGGCGAACGGGUGAGUAACACGUGGGUGAUCUGCCCUGCACUCUGGGAUAAGCCUGGGAAACUGGGUCUAAUACCGGAUAGGACCGCACUUUAGUGUGUGUGGUGGAAAGUUUUUUCGGUGUAGGAUGAGCCCGCGGCCUAUCAGCUUGUUGGUGGGGUAAUGGCCUACCAAGGCGGCGACGGGUAGCCGGACUGAGAGGUUGGUCGGCCACAUUGGGACUGAGAUACGGCCCAGACUCCUACGGAAGGCAGCAGUGGGGAAUAUUGCACAAUGGGCGCAAGCCGGAUGCAGCGACGCCGCGUGGGGGAUGACGGCCUUCGGGUUGUAAACUCCUUUCGCCAGGGACGAAGCGUUUUGUGACGGUACCUGGAGAAGAAGCACCGGCUAACUACGUG
rnacentral:rRNA from 1 species